UGCCAGGAGCUUGAUUCAAACAAUCCUCGU
rnacentral:piRNA from 1 species